AGGUAAAUCAGGGCACUCGAGUUAAGCUUCUGCUCAGCAUUUCUGUUUAGAGCCUGAAGACCCCUACCUCUCCCUCUACUGACUGUAACAGAACUGCAGGCCCGAAGAAUUUCAAAAAGUGAGGCACUGAAUGUAGUGUGCCAAACUGAGUACUUAACUGGAUGUCCAAUUUUAGCCUGCAAGUAAGCAUCUGAUUCUUCAUAUAGUCAGGUACCCCACCUAUACCUGGAGCCUGCCAAACCACUAGUAAUAUCAGUCAUCAGUUUCACUGCUUCUUGCUGGUCCAGGAACCACAAAAACCAACCCAGUCAGACUUAGUGAUCCCAGCCAACACCAGAAUUCGUGGAAGGUUCUCAGAGUGGAUCGGCACCCAACUCCAUACAGCAAGAGCCCGUCAUCACGGGCUGUCUUUGCACAAGUUCUCUACAGUCAUCUGCAAAUGAGUAUGAAAACUUUCCAGGGAUUUUAAUUUAGUAGCUAAGUUUCUUACUCAGAGCCAAAAAGCACCUCUGCCUGGCAAGAUAAUAAUGCAUUAGCCUUUGAAAUGCUUUUCACUUCUUAUACACUUUGGCAAAGAAGGGGCAGGAAAAGGUAUUUUUCUGAUGUUUCUAGAAACAGUGAGGUGUUUCUGAAAGCACCUAGGACUUCUGCUUUCAAAAGUUAGGGUGUGGGGCAACUCCUGUUCACCGAACCUGUGAUAAAUCUGUAUCUCUUCUUCUUUGGAUUAAGUUUUACUACAAUGCGUCGUGCAGUCAGAAGUCACAAAGAGUCAUGUCAUCUCAGAGACUCAGACGUAGCACGCAGAUAUUACAGCACUGGAAGCAAACCCUAAGAGCAAACAUCUUCAAUAUAAAUCUCACUGGGCUUUGGAGCAGGCAAUUGGGUUUUGCACACCAACCACAUUAUAGCAGAUUAAUUCACUUUUUUCUUUAGAAUGGAAGGUGCGGUUAAUAGAAUUGAAAUCAAACACUGCUAUAAAUCUCGAUAGGACUGAAUGACUGCAUCUGUGGCAGAAGACUACAAUUACAGCAUGGGAUAUGUAGUUAGGUAAACUUGUUUUUUCCCCGGCUUCAUUCUGGGAUCCCUCUUGGCUUUUAGUUUCUUCUUUACAGGCAGCUUGUAAACAUUUCAGCAGAGAUUAUGUUGCUGCAAAUCACUUGCAAAUUAAGCCUAACUUGUCUAAGUUAAAUGCACUUUCCCAUACUGUUUUAGAUUUAGGACAAUUAAUUGCAGUAAUGAUAUAAUCAAGGGCAUUAUAUGCAGAAUGGGAACACUAGAGCAAGAAAAAGCACACUUGUGGAAAUACUGGAGGAAACUGUUGCCUGGAGUAAGUGGUCAGAGCUCUCCUGGACUGAGAUCCAUCCUUAACAGUGUACUGGUAUUUCCCUAAACCUUUAUUAAAUCAACGCAUUUUCAAAUUAUGGAAGGAAUUAAAUGUUCAAAUGUCAUCUUUGUAGCCACUAGAUUGCAACUGACUCUCCUCUGAAAAAAGUGUAUUGUAUCCCUCUGAAAGUUUCUCCUUUGUUCAGAACACUUGUAAUUCUAUUGUUGUUAAAGCUAUUUAGUCACUUUUGCAAAAUCAACCUGGAACAAUGAAUGAGUUCUGUAAAUAGAAAGACGAUUUAGUGGGAACUGAUCUGUAGAGAAUGCUUUUAUAAGAACUAUUAUUUGUCUCCUGCCUUUUGUCUUCUGCUAAAAAAAAAGUACUUAUUUAGCAUUUAUUUCAGAAGCUGAAUUGAAAUAAGAUAACAAAAACAACCAGUACUGUCCAGUAUGUUUCUGUUUGCUUGUCUCAUAAUUACAGCAUCAUUAUCUGGAUUUUAGUAAAUGUCUGCCCUGUGCUGAAAGUAUCUUAAAUUCACAGACAACACAUAAAACUAAUAACUAUAUAGGGAAACUUGCAUUAUCUAAGGUAUUCUAUACCUUGUGUUUUAAAUAUCAGCUUAAAGGGAGCAAGUAGAAUACUGCCCUAAGUGUUUGCCUCUUCAGAUGUCAAUAUGGUUGCUGAUGAAUCUUUUGUUGACAUCUUCCCUAAAAGCUGUUGCUACACUGCCAAGUCACACAGAAACAAGCACGCAUGUGGUCCUUACACAAGAUCCAAAGAAAAGUCUCUUUUUUUCUUUGCUGCAGGGUAUCUUCUGCUAAAUCAGUAUGGUUGUUGCUCUGGGUUGAUGGUGUUGAGAAACCCUCAAAAAUUAUUCCCAAGGCUUCACCUUUCCCCUUUGUUCUUUCUACUUCUGAAUUCAACCAAGCAAGUCAUGCCUCUGUCUGUACAGAGAACUUAUGAUUGAAAAGCAUGUGAGGCUGGAAUUUGGCACAUUAGACUUCCAUCCACUUGCAUGUGGACUACAGCAAUGAACUGCCUUUAAUACAAGGCAGUCUUGGGACUUUCAAGGGACUACAACGCAAACCCAAUUGCUUGUUGAACCCGUUGAAACUGUGGUACUAGUUUAACUGGGUAGUAUGUAAGGCUGUGUGUAUUCUUAUCACUGCUAUUAGCAGGGGUCAUUGUGGCCAGGUAAAGAAAUACUUACUCCUCCUUCAGGAACCCCUUUAAAAGGUUUCUCUUUGGAGGCUGCCAAUUGCAUACUCAGUCUUCCACUCCACAUGCAUCUAAAUGCUUCACUGACUUGUGCCAAGAGACGUAAACUGUUUUAAUGUGUUCCUGAUGAUUUCAAUGGAAGGUCUAAAUGUGUAAAGAACACAAGAUCCUGCCCACUGGGAGCUAAAGGGAUAAAAUCUCACACUAGCCACUCCAGGGAAUCAGAAAGAAUCAGUAAGAAUAAGCUCUUGAAAUUAGAAAGAAAUCAAGGCGGAAAAACUGUGGUUAAACUGAAAGCCAUCUACCAGAGCAGACCUUCCUAUCAUUUCCCCAUACAGCGAAGCAUUCUGGUUCCCCGUACACUGUAAUAGCAGAGCUGAGCAGUGCUUCCUAGUUUGUCUCAUCAGAUUGCUGUGCUUUUGGCUUCCGAUCUGAUUGUUAAUUAUUCUUUUUUAUUACAUGUUUUUAUAUUAGACACUUAACUCUUCUUUGUAAUUAGAUGUAGUGAUUAUAGUAUCUUUUUAUAUUACACUUGAGUGUUCCUUUAAUGCAGACAUCAAAUAAAACAAAACACAUAAAGCACCAAAAAAGGGAUUGCAACAGUAGCGUUUGUGUCCGAAGGAGUGAAGAAGUGGGAAAAAGUGAGUUGCAGUUAUUGCUUCUGGCUCCAGCAACCCAAUUUGUUUCUUUAUUCUUCUCCAAAUUAUGUUCAUUCAUUUAUUAUAAUUCACUGAAUGUAUUAUGUAUAAAAUCAAUCCAGAUUUUUAAAGACAGGCAUUAUGUGUUUUGUCUAAAUGCAACUCUUUUGUGUUGUUGUUGUUCAAUUGCUGGGAAACAUUUUUCUUCUUCUUAGUGUAAAUGUUUUCUUGAGGAAAGGGUUAUGUGGGAUGGGGAGAGAAUACUCAGAAAGGAAGAAGAUGAAAUAGAGUAUCUAAUAGCACAGUGAAGAUUCGUGCUGUUCCUCCACGGUGAUGUCCAUAUAGUGAUCAGCAGUCUAACAUCCUCCCUUUAUCUAAGGAGCAGCUAUUGUAUUUCAGGAGUACUGUUCCACAUAGCCCCAUGUGAAAAUUCCUGUUUCAGAACAGAAUUACCUUCCCCAUGAUAAGAAUCUU